AUUGAACGCUAGCGGCAUGCUUAACACAUGCAAGUCGAGCGAGCGGCGGACGGGUGAGUAAUGUCUGGGAAACUGCCUGGUGGAGGGGGAUAACUACUGGAAACGGUAGCUAAUACCGCAUACCAUCAGAUCUGCCCAUAUGGGAUUAGCUAGUAGGUGGGGUAAUGGCUCACCUAGGAGACGAUCCAUAGCUGGUCUGAGAGGAUGACCAGCCACACUGGAACGGAGACACGGUCCAGACUCGUACGGUAGGCAGCAGUGGGGAAUAUUGCACAAGGUGCGAAAGCCUGAUGCAGACAUGCCGCGUGUGUGACGAAGGCCUUCGGGUUGUAAAGCACUUUUAGCGAGGAGGCGUUACUCGCAGAAGAAGCACCGGCUAACUCCGUGCCAGCAGCCGCGGUAAUUC
rnacentral:rRNA from 1 species